rnacentral:tRNA from 1 species
UCCCGUGUGGUCUAGUGGCUAGGAUACGCGGCUCUCAACCGCGAGGCCCGGGUUCGAUUCCCGGCACGGGAA